rfam:Cavia porcellus supercont2_117 genomic scaffold, whole genome shotgun sequence.
UGGUGCCCAAUGUUGGACUCAAGAAUGGGAGACUUAGUGAAGAAUGCUGUUCGUGAGCCCAAAGAAGAAAAAAAGAAAAAGAAAAUAGAGGACCUGGCAAUGUGGGAGCCUGCCACAUUGCGCUGAACCUUGGUAAGUGAACAGUGAUUAUGGGACAAGAAAUUAGCCAGCAUGAGAUUUUUGUUGAAAGUUUAGGAAAGGCUUUAAAGACGCAAAGGGUAAAGGUUAAAAUUAAGCAAUUGUGUCCAUUAGGGCUUAAUAAAUUUUAUCUU